rnacentral:rRNA from 1 species
UACAGAGGUCUCAAGCGUUGUUCGGAUUCAUUGGGCGUAAAGGGUGCGUAGGUGGCGGGGUAAGUCAGGUGUGAAAUUUCGGAGCUUAACUCCGAAACUGCAUUUGAUACUGCCUUGCUUGAGGACUGGAGAGGAGACUGGAAUUCACGGUGUAGCAGUGAAAUGCGUAGAGAUCGUGAGGAAGACCAGUGGCGAAGGCGGGGUCUCUGGACAGUUCCUGACACUGAGGCAGCGAAGGCCAGG